CAAUAGCGUAUAUUAGAGCUGUUGCAGUUAAAAAGCUCGUAGUUGGAUUUCUGGUGGGAGCGAUCGGUCUGGCGCUUAGCGCGAGUACUUGCAUCGUCUCCGGCCAUCCUUGGGGAGAGUCUGUCUGGCAUUAGGUUGUCGGGCAGAGGAUCCUCAUCGUUUACUGUGAAAAAAUUAGAGUGUUCAAAGCAGGCUUAUGCCGUUGAAUAUAUUAGCAUGGAAUAAUAAGAUAGGACUUUGGUACUAUUUUGUUGGUUUGCGCACCAAAGUAAUGAUUAAUAGGGACAGUUGGGGGUAUUCGUAUUCCGUUGUCAGAGGUGAAAUUCUUGGAUUUACGGAAGACGAACUACUGCGAAAGCAUUUACCAAGGAUGUUUUCAUUAA
rnacentral:rRNA from 1 species